UAUCUAUUUGUCUUACAGUCAAGAUGAGUCGUGGCGGGAGUGCUGGUGGUGGUCAAAGUUCUCUGGGUUACCUGUUUGGAGAUGGUGAGCCUGCAAAGCCUGCUGCAGCACCAGCUGCGAAGGCCCCACCUGCUGAGAAACCAGCACAAGCACCUGCUGAUGUAGCCAAGCAGGUUCCAGCUGGCAUUCCAGGUAGCCGGGCGAACAACUAUUACCGUGCAGAUGGCCAGAACACUGGCAACUUCCUUACGGUAUGUGUUUUGCCCUUGUAAUGAACCCAAUCUGAUCCAGCUAGUUAUCCUUCUAAAAUUUCAUCGGUGAAUUAUAUCAAAAGUUUCCAUUGACAUAAGUUUAAUCACCGUUAGCCUCUCCAUUAUUAAUAUUUUUUUGCUAGAAGAAUCUUCUGCCCAGUGCAGUUUUCACAACUACUCUCUAUUUCGGUUCAUGUUAACCCUCCAAGAAUUCAUCUUGCUUUGUGUUAUUUAUUACUACAGUUAUUAGUACAGCCAAGAAAAUAUCGGUUCAUUCCCCCCAGGGAUGUAAGCUAAGCAAAUGAGUUAAAUCGUCUUUUUAUUCAGCCUACUUGAAUGUUUGAUUUUCAAGUAUUGAAGUACAUGGCAUGUCUUCUAAAGAUGGUCAUUUUGGGGC
rnacentral:lncRNA from 1 species